rnacentral:rRNA from 1 species
AUCUUCGGCAAUGGGCGCAAGCCUGACCGAGCGACGCCGCGUGGGCGAUGAAGGCCAUUAGGUUGUAAAGCUCUGUCGAGGGGGAACAAGCCGCAAGGUUGAGUGAUCCCUGGAGGAAGCACGGGCUAAGUUCGUGCCAGCAGCCGCGGUAAGACGAACCGUGCGAACGUUGUUCGGAAUCAUUGGGCUUAAAGGGCGCGUAGGCGGGUUGACAAGUCCGGGGUGAAAGCCUCCAGCUCAACUGGAGAAGAGCCCCGGAUACUGUCAGUCUGGAGAGGGAUAGGGGCACAUGGAACUUCCGGUGGAGCGGUGAAAUGCGUAGAGAUCGGAAGGAACGCCGGUGGCGAAAGCGAUGUGCUGGAUCUUUUCUGACGCUGAGGCGCGAAAGCUAGGGGAGCAAACGGGAUUAGAUACCCCGGUAGUCCUAGCCCUAAACGAUGGGUACUGGGUUGCGGGUCAGACAUAGACUCGCAGCCGGAGCAAAAGUGUUAAGUACCCCGCCUGGGGAGUAUGGUCGCAAGGCUGAAACUCAAAGGAA